AUGGAGAUGCUCCUUGAAGUUUUACUAAUGAUACUAUGGAUGCAACUAUCAUCGGUGAGUGGUCAACAGCUGAAUCAGAGUCCUCAGUCUAUAACUGUCCAGGAAGGAGAGGAUCUCACCAUAAACUGCAGCUCUUCAAGCACAUUUAAUAACUUCAAAUGGUACAAACAGGACCCUGGAGAAGGUCUCAUCCUCCUGACAACUUUAUAUCAGAGUGGUGAAUUGAUAAGAAGUGGGAGAUUGACUGCUCAGUUAGGUGGAACAAGGAAGGACAGUUUCCUGAGCAUCCAAGCCUCCAAGCCUGACGAUACAGCAACUUACUUCUGUGCUGGGGAGCACAGUGCUCCCCAAGCACCUUCAGCCUGUACUCAAACUUGCAGGUUUUGGCAUGCAGUUUGA